AUUUGGGAGAGGUCAGAUAAAGAAAAGAGGAGCAUUAACCUUGAUUAUGCCUUUAGCUCCAGCCACCUCUUUAAGAGGAAAUUGUUGGGCAGGUCGGGGAGGGCUAGUCAUGGAACAAAACUGUAAGCCAGACUGGGUGUGGGGAAGGGAGGUGAUAGAAGGAUUAUAGGGUGGGGAAGCAGAGGCUGAGGAAGAAUUGGGACCUGGCUUGGCCUGGCAAGGAGCAGCCUGGGGAGGAGGGGAGAGAGGUCAGAUGGGUCCCUAGAAAAGGAAGAUACUAGGGAGGGACCAGUGUGUAAAAGAAUGCCUGGACAUCAGGCACCUCAGACCGUUUGCCCAUUUUAUGACCUGAAUUAUUUAGAUAUUGUAGGAUGGAAAAAUCGAAAGUGCCGUUUUCUGGCUAUUUGGAACCACUGUCGAGUUUGUAUUGGGGUCAUGGAAGGUUGCCCAUAGUGAAGGAGGCAA
rnacentral:lncRNA from 1 species